rnacentral:rRNA from 1 species
AGUGAUAGCUGGUUACUCAAGAAAAAGAUUUUAGUCCCACCUAAAGCUUUAAUAAUUUAACAAAAUAAAAUUUCAACUUUAGAGUAAUUCAAAUAGGGUACAGCCUAUUUGAAACAGGAUACAACCUAAACUAAUGGGUAAUACUAUACUCACGUAAUCAAGUGGACCUAAAAGCAGCCAACUUUAAGAUAGCCUCAAAGCCCUAUUACAAUCCCCCAAACAAAUUUCUUAAAAUAAGUCGAACCCUUUUAUUCUAUUGAGUAAUUCUAUACUGUUAUAGAAUUUAUAAUGUUAAAACUAGUAACAAGAAGAAGACCUUCUCUCAAAUGCAAGUAUAAAUCAGCAAGGACCCACCACUGAUAAUUAACACGCAUGAAAUUACAUUAGCAACCCCUCAAGAAAACCCUAAUAAAUUUUAUGUUAACCUGACACAAGAGCAUUAAAAGAAAGAUUAAAAAAAAAAGAAGGAACUCGGCAAACAAUGACCCCGCCUGUUUACCAAAAACAUCGCCUCUUGAAUAACUAUAAGAGGUCCAGCCUGCCCAGUGAUUUAUUUAACGGCCGCGGUAUCUUAACCGCGCGAAGGUAGCAUAAUCAAUUGUUCUUUAAAUGGGGACUUGUAUGAAUGGCACCACGAAGGUUGUACUGUCUCCUUUUUUUAAUCAGUGAAACUAAUCCCCCCGUGAAGAAGCGGGAAUAAAAAUAUAAGACGAGAAGACCCUAUGGAGCUUCAAACUAAAUAACAAGUAUCAUUCCCUUUAAAUUUUUCAGAAUGAAGGCCUUUAUUUUUAUACUAUGAUUAAUAGUUUUAGGUUGGGGUGACCGCGGAGUAUAACCCAACCUCCGCACUGAAAGAAUUCACUUCUGAACUAAGAGCUACAACUCUAAGUACCAAUAAAUUGACACCAUUUGACCCAAUAUUUUGACCAAUGAACCAAGUUACCCUAGGGAUAACAGCGCAAUCCACUUUAAGAGAUCCUAUCAAAAAGUGGGCUUACGACCUCGAUGUUGGAUCAGGGUAUCCCAGUGGUGCAGCCGCUACUAAAGGUUCGUUUGUUC